AUGUCUCGGUCCAUGAGCCUCAACAUGAGGUCGGCCUCGCGCCGCGAGACAAUCGAAAGGUUUGAGAAGAUGGUGGAAGGGGGAAGUUACUACGAGGCCCAACAAAUGUACAAAUCUACCAGUGCAAGAUACAUUACUUGUCAAAGGUAUUCGGAAGGCUUGGACAUCCUUCAGUCAGGAGCUACAAUCCAGUUGAAGCAUGGACAGAUAACUUGCGGUGCUGAACUCGCUGUGCUGUUCGUGGACACUCUUGUCAAAGGGCAAUGUCCUUAUAAUGAAGAAACUUUUGAUCGUGUCAGAAAGAUAUACGAGGCGUUCCCCAGGAUAAAUAUGCCCCAUUUCCUUGGAGAUGAUUAUGACGAUGAUGGGCAGAAAUUAUCCGAAGCUAUUUCUGCUGCAAAAGUGCGUUCUGAAGGUUGUUCAUCAUUUCUAAGAGCAGCUCUCAGGUGGUCUGCGGAGUUUGGGACAUCAAGAAACGGAUCUCCUGAUCUGCAUGUUAUGUUGGGUGAAUACAUUUAUUCCGAAUCUCCAGAAACGGACAUGACUAAAGUAUCAAGUCAUUUUGUGCGCGGUAACGAUCCUAAAAAAUUUGCUUCUAUGCUGGUAAACUUUAUGGGCAAGUGCUACCCUGGUGAAGAUGAUACUGCAAUUGCACGCAGUGUCCUAAUGUAUCUAUCACUAGGGAAUCUCAGAGACGCAAAUUUACUUAUGGAUGGGAUGAAGGAGCAGCUAAAAUCUGCUGACAUGGAACUUCCAAAAACAGCUUUAAUUGAGUUUAUCAAGUAUCUUCUUCAAACGCUUGAAAGAGAUGCUUACCCUCUUUUUAGGACACUUCGACAAAAGUACAGCGCAAGUACAGAUCGAGACUCUGUAUUUGAGGAGUUAUUGGAUGAAAUAGCUGCAAAAUUUUAUGGCGUACGGCAACAGAAUCCUCUGGAAGGACUUUUCGGUGAAAUGUUCAAGGUGUAA
rnacentral:rRNA from 1 species